AUGGUUGAACUUAACGACGAAUGUCUUGCCCACCUUAAGUUUUUGUUCUUGUGCUUUGAAGCCUUGCCGGGGCUUAAGAUCAACUUUGCAAAGAGUGAAGUAAUUGUCAUAGGGGUGUCGAAGACCGAGGCCCUGCGGGUGUCUCAACUUCUUAAUUGCUCUUUGGGAUCCUUUCCCUUCAAAUACCUAGGUCUCCCUAUUUCUCCUGAGAAGUUGCUUGCCAGAGACUUUGCUCCUGUGGUAAUGAAAGUGGGCAGUCGAGUUAUGCCUUGGAGGGGCAGAUAUAAUACCCAAGCUGGCAAGGUUGCCCUUAUUAAUGCUUGCCUCUCGUCCCUCCCCAUGUUCUUGAUGGGAUUUUACCUUCUCUCGGGUGGUACACACGCGGGGUUUGAUAAGCACAGGGGUGCCUUCUACUGGAAUACGGCGGAUAACAAACGCAUAUAUAGGUUGGUUAAAUGGAAACAGAUUUGUAGACCCAAGAACCUGGGGGGCUUGGGCAUUAUCGAUACCGCGAUCAUGAACAAGUGCCUUAUCAUCAAAUGGCGAUGGAAGACCAUGACUAUCGCGGAGAACCCGCUCUGGCUCAGUAUCCUGAAAGACAAAUACUACCCUAACUCUAGCCCCAUGUUUGCUUCCUCCUCGGGCGGAUCUCAAAUUUGGAAAGACCUUAUCAAAGUCUGCCCGGUGUUUAAAUCCCUUGUUAAAUUUGUGGUCCGUAACGACUAG
rnacentral:rRNA from 1 species